rnacentral:rRNA from 1 species
AGAGUUUGAUCCUGGCUCAGGAUUAACGCUGGCGGCAUGCCUUAUGCAUGCAAGUAGAACGAGUUAGUAGCAAUACUAACUAGUUGCGAACGGCUGAGUAAUGGAUAGGAAUCUCCCCGAUGGUGUGGAAUACCUCAUCGAAAGAUGAGCUAAUACCGCAUGACCCCGCAAGGGAAAAGCGCUUAACUGCGCGCCGACGGAUGAGCCUAUCUUCCAUCAGGCUGUUGGUGGGGUAAUGGCCUACCAAACCUAUGACGGAUACCCGCCCUGAGAGGGGAAACGGGCAGAAUGGGACUGAGACACGGCCCAUACAACUACGGUUGGCAGCAACAGGGAAUCGUGCGCAAUGGACGAAAGUCUGACGCCGCAAUGCCGCGUGGAGGAUUAAGGCCUUAGGGUCGUAAACUCCUUUUGCCAUGGGGGAGAUACCAUGGAGAAUAAGUGACUGCUAACUCUGUGCCAGCAGCCGCGGUAAUACAGAGGUCACAAGCGUUAUCCGGAUUUAUUGGGCGUAAAGCGUUUCGUAGGUUACUUACUAAGUUACUCUUCAAAGACUACGGCUCAACCGGAGGAAGGGGAGUAAGACUGGUAGGAUUGAAUAGUGGUGGGGUAUC